rnacentral:lncRNA from 1 species
UGAGUAGGGUUAGCAUUUGAUUUAGGAUCUAAAGUUUGAUUUAACGAUUGAUCUAGGAUUUGAUUUAAGUUUUAUGGUUUUUCUAAGAUUUGAUGUAGGAUUUGAUUUUGGAUUUAGAAUUUGUAUAGAGAUUGAUUUAAGGUUUAAUUUAGGAUCUAAGAUUUGAUCCAGGAUUUGGUUUAGGAUCUAAAGUUUGAUCUAGGAUUUGGUUUAGGAUUUGUUUAAGAUUUGAUUGAAGUCUAUUAUAGUUUCAACUAGGAUUAAAUUAAAACUUAGUUGAGAUUUAUUUAAGAUAUAUUUG